rnacentral:rRNA from 1 species
UACGGGGGGGGCAAGCGUUGUUCGGAAUUACUGGGCGUAAAGGGCUCGUAGGCGGCCAACUAAGUCGGAUGUGAAAUCCCCAGGCUUAACCUGGGAACUGCAUCCGAUACUGGAUGGCUUGAAUCCGGGAGAGGGAUGCAGAAUUCCAGGUGUAGCGGUGAAAUGCGUAGAUAUCUGGAGGAACACCCGUGGCGAAGGCGGCCCUCUGGCUCGACCCUGACGCUGAGGCGGCGAAAAGCGUGGGGAGCGAACGGG